GAUCGAACUCACGACCACCUGCUUGCAAGGCAGGUGCUUAUGCCACUGAGCUAAAACCUCAGCCCUGAAGAAUCUGAAUUUCAAAAUGAGUGGAAUGGCACUAGAUGAGGAUACUGAGGUUUCCUGUCUCAAGCCAGCAGUACCUCUGAUUAUACACCUGAGCAUUUCACUACAAACGAGGAACUACGUGGGCAGACCAGGUCCUGAAUGUUUGGAGAAAUGGCUGAAACCCAAAAAUCCAUCGGGAUGACAGAACGGACAACAGCUUCCAAGGAUUCUUGGAGUCAGAAAGCCAUACCUCGUACGUCAGAGAAUCAUAUCUGACUGUCAGACUGGGAGGAUGGCAGUAAGAAAAACCAAAAAGAAACUGAAGGCAGAAGAAAAACUGAGGUAGACACAUGGACCAGAUGAAAACAUCAUCCUUGUUAACUCUGAAGAAAAUUAAAGUUUAUGUGGAUGUAGAUCA